GAUGAACGCUGGCGGCGUGCCUAAUACAUGCAAGUCGAGCGAACAGACGAGGAGCUUGCUCCUCUGACGUUAGCGGCGGACGGGUGAGUAACACGUGGAUAACCUACCUAUAAGACUGGGAUAACUUCGGGAAACCGGAGCUAAUACCGGAUAAUAUAUUGAACCGCAUGGUUCAAUAGUGAAAGACGGUUUUGCUGUCACUUAUAGAUGGAUCCGCGCCGCAUUAGCUAGUUGGUAAGGUAACAGCUUACCAAGGCAACGAUGCGUAGCCGACCUGAGAGGGUGAUCGGCCACACUGGAACUGAGACACGGUCCAGACUCCUACGGGAGGCAGCAGUAGGGAAUCUUCCGCAAUGGGCGAAAGCUUGACGGAGCAACGCCGCGUGAGUGAUGAAGGUCUUCGGAUCGUAAAAUUCUGUUAUUAGGGAAGAACAAAUGUGUAAGUAACUAUGCACGUCUUGACGGUACCUAAUCAGAAAGCCACGGCUAACUACGUG
rnacentral:rRNA from 1 species